AACGAACGCUGGCGGCAGGCUUAACACAUGCAAGUCGAACGCACCUUUCGGGGUGAGUGGCAGACGGGUGAGUAACGCGUGGGAAUCUACCCUUCUCUACGGGAUAGCUCCGGGAAACUGGAAUUAAUACCGUAUACGUCCUGAGGGAGAAAGAUUUAUCGGGGAAGGAUGAGCCCGCGUUGGAUUAGCUAGUUGGUGGGGUAAAGGCCUACCAAGGCGACGAUCCAUAGCUGGUCUAAGAGGAUGAUCAGCCACAUUGGGACUGAGACACGGCCCAAACUCCUACGGGAGGCAGCAGUGGGGAAUAUUGGACAAUGGGCGCAAGCCUGAUCCAGCCAUGCCGCGUGAGUGAUGAAGGCCCUAGGGUUGUAAAGCUCUUUCAGGGGGGACGAUAAUGACGGUACCCACAGAAAAAGCCCCGGCUAACUUCGUG
rnacentral:rRNA from 1 species